GACAGAGGGUGCAAACGUUGUUCGGAAUCAUUGGGCGUAAAGCGCGCGUAGGCGGUUAUUUAAGUUGGAUGUGAAAGCCCUCGGCUUAACUGAGGAAGUGCAUCCAAAACUGAAUAGCUAGAGUACGAAAGAGGGUCGCGGAAUUCCCGGUGUAGAGGUGAAAUUCGUAGAUAUCGGGAGGAACACCGGUGGCGAAGGCGGCGACCUGGGUCGAGACUGACGCUGAGGCGCGAAAGCGUGGGGAGCAAACAGG
rnacentral:rRNA from 1 species